GGAGGCGUCGCAUAGCGGUCUAGUGCGCACGCUUGGAAAGCGUGUGAGGGGCAACCCUCCGAGAGUUCGAAUCUCUCCGCCUCCGCCA
rnacentral:tRNA from 1 species